rnacentral:rRNA from 1 species
UUAAGCGACUAAGCGUACACGGUGGAUGCCCUGGCAGUCAGAGGCGAUGAAGGACGUGCUAAUCUGCGAUAAGCGUCGGUAAGGUGAUAUGAACCGUUAUAACCGGCGAUUUCCGAAUGGGGAAACCCAGUGUGUUUCGACACACUAUCAUUAACUGAAUCCAUAGGUUAAUGAGGCGAACCGGGGGAACUGAAACAUCUAAGUACCCCGAGGAAAAGAAAUCAACCGAGAUUCCCCCAGUAGCGGCGAGCGAACGGGGAGCAGCCCAGAGCCUGAAUCAGUGUGUGUGUUAGUGGAAGCGUCUGGAAAGGCGCGCGAUACAGGGUGACAGCCCCGUACACAAAAAUGCACAUGCUGUGAGCUCGAUGAGUAGGGCGGGACACGUGGUAUCCUGUCUGAAUAUGGGGGGACCAUCCUCCAAGGCUAAAUACUCCUGACUGACCGAUAGUGAACCAGUACCGUGAGGGAAAGGCGAAAAGAACCCCGGCGAGGGGAGUGAAAAAGAACCUGAAACCGUGUACGUACAAGCAGUGGGAGCACAGAGCAAUCUGUGUGACUGCGUACCUUUUGUAUAAUGGGUCAGCGACUUAUAUUCUGUAGCAAGGUUAACCGAAUAGGGGAGCCGAAGGGAAACCGAGUCUUAACUGGGCGUUAAGUUGCAGGGUAUAGACCCGAAACCCGGUGAUCUAGCCAUGGGCAGGUUGAAGGUUGGGUAACACUAACUGGAGGACCGAACCGACUAAUGUUGAAAAAUUAGCGGAUGACUUGUGGCUGGGGGUGAAAGGCCAAUCAAACCGGGAGAUAGCUGGUUCUCCCCGAAAGCUAUUUAGGUAGCGCCUCGUGAAUUCAUCUCCGGGGGUAGAGCACUGUUUCGGCAAGGGGGUCAUCCCGACUUACCAACCCGAUGCAAACUGCGAAUACCGGAGAAUGUUAUCACGGGAGACACACGGCGGGUGCUAACGUCCGUCGUGAAGAGGGAAACAACCCAGACCGCCAGCUAAGGUCCCAAAGUCAUGGUUAAGUGGGAAACGAUGUGGGAAGGCCCAGACAGCCAGGAUGUUGGCUUAGAAGCAGCCAUCAUUUAAAGAAAGCGUAAUAGCUCACUGGUCGAGUCGGCCUGCGCGGAAGAUGUAACGGGGCUAAACCAUGCACCGAAGCUGCGGCAGCGACGCUGAUGCGUUGUUGGGUAGGGGAGCGUUCUGUAAGCCUGCGAAGGUGUGCUGUGAGGCAUGCUGGAGGUAUCAGAAGUGCGAAUGCUGACAUAAGUAACGAUAAAGCGGGUGAAAAGCCCGCUCGCCGGAAGACCAAGGGUUCCUGUCCAACGUUAAUCGGGGCAGGGUGAGUCGACCCCUAAGGCGAGGCCGAAAGGCGUAGUCGAUGGGAAACAGGUUAAUAUUCCUGUACUUGGUGUUACUGCGAAGGGGGGACGGAGAAGGCUAUGUUGGCCGGGCGACGGUUGUCCCGGUUUAAGCGUGUAGGCUGGUUUUCCAGGCAAAUCCGGAAAAUCAAGGCUGAGGCGUGAUGACGAGGCACUACGGUGCUGAAGCAACAAAUGCCCUGCUUCCAGGAAAAGCCUCUAAGCAUCAGGUAACAUCAAAUCGUACCCCAAACCGACACAGGUGGUCAGGUAGAGAAUACCAAGGCGCUUGAGAGAACUCGGGUGAAGGAACUAGGCAAAAUGGUGCCGUAACUUCGGGAGAAGGCACGCUGAUAUGUAGGUGAAGUCCCUCGCGGAUGGAGCUGAAAUCAGUCGAAGAUACCAGCUGGCUGCAACUGUUUAUUAAAAACACAGCACUGUGCAAACACGAAAGUGGACGUAUACGGUGUGACGCCUGCCCGGUGCCGGAAGGUUAAUUGAUGGGGUCAGCGCAAGCGAAGCUCUUGAUCGAAGCCCCGGUAAACGGCGGCCGUAACUAUAACGGUCCUAAGGUAGCGAAAUUCCUUGUCGGGUAAGUUCCGACCUGCACGAAUGGCGUAAUGAUGGCCAGGCUGUCUCCACCCGAGACUCAGUGAAAUUGAACUCGCUGUGAAGAUGCAGUGUACCCGCGGCAAGACGGAAAGACCCCGUGAACCUUUACUAUAGCUUGACACUGAACAUUGAGCCUUGAUGUGUAGGAUAGGUGGGAGGCUUUGAAGUGUGGACGCCAGUCUGCAUGGAGCCGACCUUGAAAUACCACCCUUUAAUGUUUGAUGUUCUAACGUGGACCCGUAAUCCGGGUUGCGGACAGUGUCUGGUGGGUAGUUUGACUGGGGCGGUCUCCUCCUAAAGAGUAACGGAGGAGCACGAAGGUUGGCUAAUCCUGGUCGGACAUCAGGAGGUUAGUGCAAUGGCAUAAGCCAGCUUGACUGCGAGCGUGACGGCGCGAGCAGGUGCGAAAGCAGGUCAUAGUGAUCCGGUGGUUCUGAAUGGAAGGGCCAUCGCUCAACGGAUAAAAGGUACUCCGGGGAUAACAGGCUGAUACCGCCCAAGAGUUCAUAUCGACGGCGGUGUUUGGCACCUCGAUGUCGGCUCAUCACAUCCUGGGGCUGAAGUAGGUCCCAAGGGUAUGGCUGUUCGCCAUUUAAAGUGGUACGCGAGCUGGGUUUAGAACGUCGUGAGACAGUUCGGUCCCUAUCUGCCGUGGGCGCUGGAGAAUUGAGGGGGGCUGCUCCUAGUACGAGAGGACCGGAGUGGACGCAUCACUGGUGUUCGGGUUGUCAUGCCAAUGGCACUGCCCGGUAGCUAAAUACGGAAGAGAUAAGUGCUGAAAGCAUCUAAGCACGAAACUUGCCCCGAGAUGAGUUCUCCCUGACUCCUUGAGAGUCCUGAAGGAACGUUGAAGACGACGACGUUGAUAGGCCGGGUGUGUAAGCGCAGCGAUGCGUUGAGCUAACCGGUACUAAUGAACCGUGAGGCUUAACCUU